AGCUCUGUAGCUCAGCGGCAGAGCACCUGCCCUGCAUGCAGAAGGUCCCAGGCUCAAUGCCCAGCAUGUCCAGGCAGGGCU